AAUGCGGGACUCUAAGAGGCCCCGUAAUUGGAAUGAGUACACCUUAAAUCGUUUAACGAGUAUCAAUUGGAGGGCAAGUCUGGUGCCAGCAGCCGCGGUAAUUCCAGCUCCAAUAGCGUAUAUUAAAGUUGCUGCAGUUAAAAAGCUCGUAGUUGGAUCUGGGGCUUGAGGUCGCUGUCUAUCGUUUCGGCGAUGACGGUGAUGCUCAGCUCUGCUUGCCGGUGACUGUUGCGGUGUUCUUCACUGAGCGCUGUAGCAGCACGGCACGUUUACUUUGAAAAAAUUAGAGUGCUCAAAGCGUGCUUGUCGCUUGAAUAAUGUUGCAUGGAAUAAUGGAAUAGGACCUCGGUUCUAUUUUGUUGGUUUUCGGAGCUUGAGGUAAUGAUUAAGAGGGACGAACGGGGGCAUUCGUAUUGCGGUGUUAGAGGUGAAAUUCUUGGAUCGCCGCAAGACGGACUACUGCGAAAGCAUUUGCCAAGAACGCUUUCAUUAAUUAAGAACGAAAGUCAGAGGUUCGAAGACGAUCAGACACCGUCCUAGUUCUGACCAUAAACGAUGCCGACCAGCGAUCCGUAGUGGUUGCUUUAUGGACCCUACGGGCAGCCUCCGGGAAACCAAAGUAUUUGGGUUCCGGGGGAAGUAUGGUUGCAAAGCUGAAACUUAAAGGAAUUGACGGAAGGGCACACCAGGAGUGGAGCCUGCGGCUUAAUUUGACCCAACACGGGAAAACUCACCCGGUCCGGACACCGUAAGGAUUGACAGACUGAUAGCUCUUUCUUGAUUCGGUGGAUGGGGGUGCAUGGCCGUUCUUAGUUGGUGGAGUGAUUUGUCUGGUUAAUUCCGAUAACGAACGAGACUCUAGCCUGCUAAGUAGUGUUGCUAUUGUUAUAUGGUUGACACUUCUUAGAGGGACAAGUGGCAUUUAGCCACGCGAAAUUGAGCAAUAACAGGUCUGUGAUGCCCUUAGAUGUCCGGGGCCGCACGCGCGCUACACUGGAGAAGUCAGCGUGUGUUAUCCAAGUCCGAAAGGACUGGGUAAUCCGUUGAACCUUCUUCGUGCUUGGGACUGUGGCUUGGAACUAUUCCACAUGAACGAGGAAUUCCUAGUAAUUGCAAGUCAUAAGCUUGCGUUGAUUACGUCCCUGCCCUUUGUACACACCGCCCGUCGCUACUACCGAUUGAAUGGUUUAGCAAGGUCCUCGGAUCGUGGCCGUAGGGGCACGCAAGUGUUUCUGCGGUUUGCGAGAAGACGACCAAACUUGAUCAUUUAGA
rnacentral:rRNA from 1 species